rnacentral:rRNA from 1 species
GAUGAACGCUAGCUACAGGCUUAACACAUGCAAGUCGAGGGGAUACGGCAUCGAAAGCUUGCUUUUGAUGGGCGUCGACCGGCGCACGGGUGAGUAACGCGUAUCCAACCUGCCCAUCACUUGGGAAUAACCUUGCGAAAGUAAGACUAAUGCCCAAUGACAUCCCACGAAGGCAUCCGAAUGGGAUUAAAGAUUUAUCGGUGAUGGAUGGGGAUGCGUCUGAUUAGCUUGUUGGCGGGGUGACGGCCCACCAAGGCAACGAUCAGUAGGGGUUCUGAGAGGAAGGGCCCCCACAUUGGAACUGAGACACGGUCCAAACUCCUACGGGAGGCAGCAGUGAGGAAUAUUGGUCAAUGGGCGAGAGCCUGAACCAGCCAAGUAGCGUGCAGGAUGACGGCCCUAUGGGUUGUAAACUGCUUUUAUAAGGGAAUAAAGUGGGUCACGUGUGACUUUUUGCAUGUACCUUAUGAAUAAGGACCGGCUAAUUCCGUG